AACCUUUUGAAAUGUCCAGCUCUUAUGCAACAGGUUAAAUACUUUUUCCCUUCUCCCUUAUUCAGCAGAGAGGAGUUGGCAAUUGACACGAUGCAGAGGCACAGAAUGAAACCUAUUUAGAACAGAUGUUAGUAUUUUUAAAAAAAAGUCACGUGAAACGAGCAGAUGUUCAGACUGUGCAGAGAGUGGCCGUGCCGCGCAUUGCUCUGCAGAGAGAGAGAGAGAGAGAGAGAGAGAGAGAGGAGCUUUUUUCCUUUACACCGACACCAACCGCGAGUCCGAUAUUCGGUUAUAGGUUCGAUGAGAAAGGAUUAAUAAAAGGUGCUAACGGCGGGGGUCGCCGGGGAGCUGGCCGAUCGAGCGGAGACACAAAAGGACUCUUCACACGGAUCCCUCAGUCCAGCCAGCUGGUCAGAUGAUAAAGACAACGACCACAACAACAACAGUAAUCACAUGAGUAACCGAUUUGGUUGUUUUUGUGAUAUAUAAAAUCAGUCUUGUGGUUUGUUUAGUUGAGAAAAUAAUCAUUUUUCAUGUUAAUUAUCGAAUUUCUUAGAUUUCACAAACAACGUAUAUGACAUUCUGAUGCAUUAAUUAGUCAUUAAUGUCGUUUUGUCAUGUGUUAUGACUGAAUUGGUGUAAAAAUGUAAAUCUAACCAUCGCUCAUAUUUACAUGUUAUUUAUUUUCUCCCAUGCAUAAAAGUAAAAUCUUCCAGUUUAAUAGCGUAUUAAUAGUUAUACAUUAUAACAAUGUCAGUGGGGGGCCCUUUGAAAAGUAAUAAUCUCAGUGUAAGUCAACAUAAACCUCAUCUUCUCUCCUCCAUCUCCAUGUCAUCAGGCUGCUGGCUUUGUCCUGCAUAACAGAACACCGGCUGUUUGUGACCUCAGUGCUCAAUCAAGUUCAAAGAAGACUGCGAGUGUUUGGCAGAUAUUUUUUCACGAGGGCAGUGGGAGAGCAGUGUUUGGUCAACCUCUGGCUCCCUCUUUGAUUCGCCGCUCUCUCCACUUAAGGCCCUCCAUUCAAGCCACACUGGUCAGUCUGAUAAGAUCCGGGUGAUAACUGACUUGGCUUUCAAUCUCUUUUCAUUUGUAUUACCUGCCAUUUAUACACAACAUGCCUUGAACUUUUGUUUUCACAAUUGCAUCAAAAUCUGUCAAACUUUAGUAAAAGACUAAAAUGCGAUUAAAGAAAUGUUUGAAACAGUAAAUGGAUUCCUGAGCAGCAGGACCCGAGUUAGUCACUGAAACACUCUUCCACCAAACCUUCAAUGCUAACUGUCUAUCAUUUUAGAAUAUGAGGAAUAAUUAUAAUAAUAUCAAGGGAAGACUAACUGAAUAUGUUUGGUUCUUCUUAGUAAAAUCAACUUUUACCUGCAACAUCCCCUGAUGAAUGAUUGUAAAAAAAACCAUCUUUGCAUGAUUUCAGCUCUGGAAAUGUAUUCAUCUUAAGUAAAUAAAACAGGAAAUAAAGCUUUAAUCUCUUGUG